GGGUUGUGAGGUUAAGCGACUAAGCGUACACGGUGGAUGCCCUGGCAGUCAGAGGCGAUGAAGGACGUGCUAAUCUGCGAUAAGCGUCGGUAAGGUGAUAUGAACCGUUAUAACCGGCGAUUUCCGAAUGGGGAAACCCAGUGUGAUUCGUCACACUAUCAUUAACUGAAUCCAUAGGUUAAUGAGGCGAACCGGGGGAACUGAAACAUCUAAGUACCCCGAGGAAAAGAAAUCAACCGAGAUUCCCCCAGUAGCGGCGAGCGAACGGGGAGGAGCCCAGAGCCUGAAUCAGUGUGUGUGUUAGUGGAAGCGUCUGGAAAGGCGCGCGAUACAGGGUGACAGCCCCGUACACAAAAAUGCACAUGCUGUGAGCUCGAUGAGUAGGGCGGGACACGUGGUAUCCUGUCUGAAUAUGGGGGGACCAUCCUCCAAGGCUAAAUACUCCUGACUGACCGAUAGUGAACCAGUACCGUGAGGGAAAGGCGAAAAGAACCCCGGCGAGGGGAGUGAAAAAGAACCUGAAACCGUGUACGUACAAGCAGUGGGAGCACGCUUCGGCGUGUGACUGCGUACCUUUUGUAUAAUGGGUCAGCGACUUAUAUUCUGUAGCAAGGUUAACCGAAUAGGGGAGCCGAAGGGAAACCGAGUCUUAACUGGGCGUUAAGUUGCAGGGUAUAGACCCGAAACCCGGUGAUCUAGCCAUGGGCAGGUUGAAGGUUGGGUAACACUAACUGGAAGACCGAACCGACUAAUGUUGAAAAAUUAGCGGAUGACUUGUGGCUGGGGGUGAAAGGCCAAUCAAACCGGGAGAUAGCUGGUUCUCCCCGAAAGCUAUUUAGGUAGCGCCUCGUGAAUUCAUCUCCGGGGGUAGAGCACUGUUUCGGCAAGGGGGUCAUCCCGACUUACCAACCCGAUGCAAACUGCGAAUACCGGAGAAUGUUAUCACGGGAGACACACGGCGGGUGCUAACGUCCGUCGUGAAGAGGGAAACAACCCAGACCGCCAGCUAAGGUCCCAAAGUCAUGGUUAAGUGGGAAACGAUGUGGGAAGGCCCAGACAGCCAGGAUGUUGGCUUAGAAGCAGCCAUCAUUUAAAGAAAGCGUAAUAGCUCACUGGUCGAGUCGGCCUGCGCGGAAGAUGUAACGGGGCUAAACCAUGCACCGAAGCUGCGGCAGCGACACUAUGUGUUGUUGGGUAGGGGAGCGUUCUGUAAGCCUGUGAAGGUGGCCUGUGAGGGUUGCUGGAGGUAUCAGAAGUGCGAAUGCUGACAUAAGUAACGAUAAAGCGGGUGAAAAGCCCGCUCGCCGGAAGACCAAGGGUUCCUGUCCAACGUUAAUCGGGGCAGGGUGAGUCGACCCCUAAGGCGAGGCCGAAAGGCGUAGUCGAUGGGAAACAGGUUAAUAUUCCUGUACUUGGUGUUACUGCGAAGGGGGGACGGAGAAGGCUAUGUUGGCCGGGCGACGGUUGUCCCGGUUUAAGCGUGUAGGCUGAUUUUCCAGGCAAAUCCGGAAAAUCAAGGCUGAGGCGUGAUGACGAGGCACUACGGUGCUGAAGCAACAAAUGCCCUGCUUCCAGGAAAAGCCUCUAAGCAUCAGGUAACAUCAAAUCGUACCCCAAACCGACACAGGUGGUCAGGUAGAGAAUACCAAGGCGCUUGAGAGAACUCGGGUGAAGGAACUAGGCAAAAUGGUGCCGUAACUUCGGGAGAAGGCACGCUGAUAUGUAGGUGAAGCGACUUGCUCGUGGAGCUGAAAUCAGUCGAAGAUACCAGCUGGCUGCAACUGUUUAUUAAAAACACAGCACUGUGCAAACACGAAAGUGGACGUAUACGGUGUGACGCCUGCCCGGUGCCGGAAGGUUAAUUGAUGGGGUUAGCGGUAACGCGAAGCUCUUGAUCGAAGCCCCGGUAAACGGCGGCCGUAACUAUAACGGUCCUAAGGUAGCGAAAUUCCUUGUCGGGUAAGUUCCGACCUGCACGAAUGGCGUAAUGAUGGCCAGGCUGUCUCCACCCGAGACUCAGUGAAAUUGAACUCGCUGUGAAGAUGCAGUGUACCCGCGGCAAGACGGAAAGACCCCGUGAACCUUUACUAUAGCUUGACACUGAACAUUGAGCCUUGAUGUGUAGGAUAGGUGGGAGGCUUUGAAGUGUGGACGCCAGUCUGCAUGGAGCCGACCUUGAAAUACCACCCUUUAAUGUUUGAUGUUCUAACGUUGACCCGUGAUCCGGGUUGCGGACAGUGUCUGGUGGGUAGUUUGACUGGGGCGGUCUCCUCCUAAAGAGUAACGGAGGAGCACGAAGGUUGGCUAAUCCUGGUCGGACAUCAGGAGGUUAGUGCAAUGGCAUAAGCCAGCUUGACUGCGAGCGUGACGGCGCGAGCAGGUGCGAAAGCAGGUCAUAGUGAUCCGGUGGUUCUGAAUGGAAGGGCCAUCGCUCAACGGAUAAAAGGUACUCCGGGGAUAACAGGCUGAUACCGCCCAAGAGUUCAUAUCGACGGCGGUGUUUGGCACCUCGAUGUCGGCUCAUCACAUCCUGGGGCUGAAGUAGGUCCCAAGGGUAUGGCUGUUCGCCAUUUAAAGUGGUACGCGAGCUGGGUUUAGAACGUCGUGAGACAGUUCGGUCCCUAUCUGCCGUGGGCGCUGGAGAACUGAGGGGGGCUGCUCCUAGUACGAGAGGACCGGAGUGGACGCAUCACUGGUGUUCGGGUUGUCAUGCCAAUGGCACUGCCCGGUAGCUAAAUGCGGAAGAGAUAAGUGCUGAAAGCAUCUAAGCACGAAACUUGCCCCGAGAUGAGUUCUCCCUGACUCCCUGAGAGUCCUGAAGGAACGUUGAAGACGACGACGUUGAUAGGCCGGGUGUGUAAGCGCAGCGAUGCGUUGAGCUAACCGGUACUAAUGAACCGUGAGGCUUAACCUUACAACGCCGAAG
rnacentral:rRNA from 1 species